rnacentral:rRNA from 1 species
UACAGAGGGGGCAAGCGUUGUUCGGAAUUACUGGGCGUAAAGGGCGCGUAGGCGGCCUGUUAAGUCGAACGUGAAAUCCCCGGGCUCAACCCGGAAACUGCGUCCGAUACUGGCAGGCUUGAAUCCGGGAGAGGGAUGCGGAAUUCCAGGUGUAGCGGUGAAAUGCGUAGAUAUCUGGAGGAACACCGGUGGCGAAGGCGGCAUCCUGGACCGGCAUUGACGCUGAGGCGCGAAAGCCAGGGGAGCAAACGGG